GCUCCCCGCACCUGGGGCCUGAGGGGCCGCCUCUCCGCGCCGGCUCCCCGGAUUCGAGUGCGAAAGCGGGAGCUCCUUCUCGGCAGUCCCAGGCGCGCACUUACCACGUCCCAGCGGGUAUCCAAAAUCUAGAAAUGGGCAUCACGGCCCCCCAGCGCUACAGCUCGAGCCCCCUCCGCGACCCCUGCUCCGCUAUGAACUCUAGAUUCUUUCUCCUUUCCGGAGACCGAGACCCUGUUCCUUCAGAAGGACGCGUGCAUCCUGGCCUCUGCUCCCUCCCCACGGCAGAACCCGGUGAGCUGGUCGCCGCGGUUGCGCCCCCGCCCCUCCUUGGCGCUAACGCGGCCGCCAGCUAGCACUCACUUGAGGAGCAGCUGGUCGUGUUCCGCCUUGCACUUGCCCAGCUCGAUCUGCAGCUUGGCGCGCUCGCGGGCCGUGUCGUCGAGCGCGCGUCGCGCGUCGGCCAGCUCGGUCUCGUAGAGCGCCUUGAGGCCGGUGAGCUCACGGCCGCGCACCUCCUCGCGCUCCGUCACCUGCAGCUGCAGCGCGCUGUUCUCCGUCUCCAGGCUGCGCACCUUGUCGAUGUACACCGCCAGCCGGUCAUUGAGCUCGCGCAGCUCCUCCUUCUCCUGGAGCCGCGACAGGCGCGUGGGGCUCAGCGGCGUGGUGGGGCCGCCAGCGCGGCUGCCCAUCCGCGGCGGCACGGGGGUCGCAGUCGCCAUGGCGGGCGGCGGAGACAGCGGGGCGGCGAGGCCGCGAGCGGGACCGUGAUAAGGAGGGGACGGCAGGGGGCGAAGCGGGGACCGAAGGCACAAACCGGCGACCUGCGCUCACGUCCAGACGCUGGCGUUUAGAGGAACGGAGAAGCACCUGGGAUGGCGGGAGCUCGAUUACAGCACAAAGGGCAAAGGCGCGCGGGGGGGAACUACGAAUCAAUCGAUCGAUCGCGAAAUACCCUUUGUAAGAAAACACACACACCCACUCACACACGCACGCGGGAAAAUGCAAGACGAGGGUGACUGGAGGCCC
rnacentral:lncRNA from 1 species